rnacentral:rRNA from 1 species
CAAUAGCGUAUAUUAAAGUUGUUGCAGUUAAAAGCUCGUAGUUGGAUCUCGGGUUUAGGCUGGCGGUCCGCCCAGUCGGCGGUCACUGCCUGUCCUGACCUACCUGCCGGUCUUCCCCUGGUGCUCUUCAUUGAGUGUCUGGGGCGGCCGGGACGUUUACUUUGAAAAAUUAGAGUGUUCAAGGCAGGCGUUCUCGCCUGAAUAAUAGUGCAUGGAAUAAUGGAAGAGGACCUCGGUUCUAUUUUGUUGGUUUUCGGAACUGGAGGUAAUGAUUAAGAGGGACUGACGGGGGCAUUCGUAUUACGGUGUUAGAGGUGAAAUUCUUGGAUCGUCGUAAGACGAACUACUGCGAAAGCAUUUGCCAAGAAUGUUUUCAUUAAUCAAGAACGAAAGUCGGAGGUUCGAAGACGAUUAGAUACCGU